rnacentral:siRNA from 1 species
GUUCAUGAGGUUGAUGAACAG